UACAGAGGGUGCGAGCGUUGUUCGGAAUUAUUGGGCGUAUAGGGCGCGUAGGCGGUGCGGUAAGUCACCUGUGAAAUCUCCUGGCUCAACUGGGAGCUUGCAGGCGAAACUGCCGUGCUGGAGUGUGGGAGAGGUGCGUGGAAUUCCUGGUGUAGCGGUGAAAUGCGUAGAUAUCAGGAGGAACACCUGUGGCGAAAGCGGCGCACUGGACCACAACUGACGCUGAGGCGCGAAAGCUAGGGGAGCAAACAGG
rnacentral:rRNA from 1 species